rnacentral:lncRNA from 1 species
CUUGAAGUUAGUGAGACCAAGAAUCCACCAAUUCCGGACACAGUCUGUUACAAGAGUGAGGCCAUCUGAAAGGUAACAAUCAACUUUCAGAAGAUAUGUAUCCAAGUGGGCUACUUCCAAUGUCUAUGAGAAGUACCUGCACUUAAGAGUCUGCUAUUGCCUUAGGUACUGUUUGCACCGCCCCCACCCCUCCAAAAAAAAACAACAAACAAGGACGGCUUCUCUAGUGCUUGCCACCUUUGUCAAAGCACCUGACACCACUGUCAAAGCACCCAGAGCCAGCAGAGCUACCUCACCUGACAGUUAUCUCCCUAGGGCCUGAGAAAUGGCCUACCUGGUGGCCCCCAAGCUCACUGAACUAGGCCAAUGACUCCACAAAUGCCCACAGUCUAAGCCACUGAGCGACAUGCAGACAUCAUUGAGACUAAUUUUUUUAAAUAUCAUGGAUUAAAAAGGCAUUCCAUUCCAAUUAAAACCAAAAUCAAGCAGGAGUAGCUAUACUUAGAUAAAAUAGACUUAAGUAAAAAACUGUAAAAUGGGUCAAAGAAGGUCAUUAU